UACGAAGGGGGCUAGCGUUGCUCGGAAUCACUGGGCGUAAAGCGCACGUAGGCGGAUUUCUAAGUCAGGGGUGAAAUCCCGGGGCUCAACCUCGGAACUGCCUUUGAUACUGCAAAUCUCGAGUCCGGAAGAGGUGAGUGGAAUUCCUAGUGUAGAGGUGAAAUUCGUAGAUAUUAGGAAGAACACCAGUGGCGAAGGCGGCUCACUGGUCCGGUACUGACGCUGAGGUGCGAAAGCGUGGGGAGCAAACAGG
rnacentral:rRNA from 1 species